UACAGAGGGGGCAAGCGUUGUUCGGAAUUACUGGGCGUAAAGCGCACGUAGGCGGCUUUGUAAGUUAGAGGUGAAAGCCCGGGGCUCAACUCCGGAAUUGCCUUUAAGACUGCAUCGCUAGAACGUCGGAGAGGUAAGUGGAAUUCCGAGUGUAGAGGUGAAAUUCGUAGAUAUUCGGAAGAACACCAGUGGCGAAGGCGACUUACUGGACGACCGUUGACGCUGAGGUGCGAAAGCGUGGGGAGCAAACAGG
rnacentral:rRNA from 1 species